rnacentral:rRNA from 1 species
GAAAGAUUCAUCGGAAGAGGAUGGGCAUGCGGCGCAUUAGCUAGACGGCGGGGUAACGGCCCACCGUGGCGACGAUGCGUAGGGGUUCUGAGAGGAAGGUCCCCCACACUGGUACUGAGACACGGACCAGACUCCUACGGGAGGCAGCAGUGAGGAAUAUUGGUCAAUGGGAGAGAUCCUGAACCAGCCAAGCCGCGUGAGGGAAGACGGCCCUAUGGGUUGUAAACCUCUUUUGUCGGAGAACAAAACCCGGGACGUGUCCCGGACUGCGUGUAUCCGAAGAAAAAGCAUCGGCUAACUCCGUGCCAGCAGCCGCGGUAAUACGGAGGAUGCGAGCGUUAUCCGGAUUUAUUGGGUUUAAAGGGUGCGUAGGCGGUCCGUUAAGUCAGCGGUAAAAUUGCGGGGCUCAACCCCGUCGAGCCGUUGAAACUGGCAGACUUGAGUUGGCGAGAAGUACGCGGAAUGCGCGGUGUAGCGGUGAAAUGCAUAGAUAUCGCGCAGAACUCCGAUUGCGAAGGCAGCGUACCGGCGCCACACUGACGCUGAGGCACGAAAGCGUGGGGAUCGAACAGGAUUAGAUACCCUGGUAGUCCACGCAGUAAACGAUGAAUGCUGGUUGUCCGGGUCGAAUGAGACCUGG